UUAGUGGCGACGGGUGAGUAACACGUGGGCAAUCUGCCCUUCACUCUGGGACAAGCCCUGGAAACGGGGUCUAAUACCGGAUAACACUCUGUCCCGCAUGGGACGGGGUUAAAAGCUCCGGCGGUGAAGGAUGAGCCCGCGGCCUAUCAGCUUGUUGGUGGGGUAAUGGCCUACCAAGGCGACGACGGGUAGCCGGCCUGAGAGGGCGACCGGCCACACUGGGACUGAGACACGGCCCAGACUCCUACGGGAGGCAGCAGUGGGGAAUAUUGCACAAUGGGCGAAAGCCUGAUGCAGCGACGCCGCGUGAGGGAUGACGGCCUUCGGGUUGUAAACCUCUUUCAGCAGGGAAGAAGCGAAAGUGACGGUACCUGCAGAAGAAGCGCCGGCUAACUACGUGCCAGCAGCCGCGGUAAUACGUAGGGCGCAAGCGUUGUCCGGAAUUAUUGGGCGUAAAGAGCUCGUAGGCGGCUUGUCACGUCGGAUGUGAAAGCCCGGGGCUUAACCCCGGGUCUGCAUUCGAUACGGGCUAGCUAGAGUGUGGUAGGGGAGAUCGGAAUUCCUGGUGUAGCGGUGAAAUGCGCAGAUAUCAGGAGGAACACCGGUGGCGAAGGCGGAUCUCUGGGCCAUUACUGACGCUGAGGAGCGAAAGCGUGGGGAGCGAACAGGAUUAGAUACCCUGGUAGUCCACGCCGUAAACGUUGGGAACUAGGUGUUGGCGACAUUCCACGUCGUCAGUGCCGCAGCUAACGCAUUAAGUUCCCCGCCUGGGGAGUACGGCCGCAAGGCUAAAACUCAAAGGAAUUGACGG
rnacentral:rRNA from 1 species